CCCCCCACCGCCAAGUAUCACUCUGGAACAGCACGAUAGUAGAGUGUAGGGAACACUUGGCCAAGAAGAGAGUCAGAAGACCUGAGCUAAGUCUGGGCUUGGACAGGUCACUUAGCUUCUCUGGACCUCAGUGGCUGAGCUCCAAGCUCAGUUUCUUCAGUUAGGACCCCAUGAGAGCAAAUGUCCAUGUCUGAGUCCUGAUAUCCCAUGACAAAAUCAGAGAGUAGAAAUAAUAGGAGCUCCCACAUUUCUGGUGAAUAGUUUAUAGGAUCCUAUUUAUGGGCUAAAAGUCAGAUGAUCAAAUAAGAUGAAACAUGCCCUGGAUAAAACCAGGUAGAAACAGAAGUACAACAUCUUCUGUACAAACAAAAAUAGUAAGGGUAGCUUGCAUUGCUGGCAUCAUAUCCUUUUAAAGCACUUUUGAGUUCAUGUUUCUUAUUUAGUCUGCUUUAUUCAAGAUACCUGAGGACACUGACUGGGGCCCAUACUUUAGGCUCGCCAUCUGCAGAGUGCUUUACAACAAGAAAAUCUUCCUGUUGCAACUUGACUAUUUGUUUCUUCUCCAGAUUUCUACUAGGUUCAUACCUGUAAUCCAGGCCUCUGGCUUUUCUUGCUCACAGAAAAUAUUCUAAAGGGGCUCAUUCAAGACAGACUAACUCAACAUGAAGCCCUGCCCUUCAGAGUCUCCCCAUCUUCAACCAUUAGAAAGCAGGGAUUCUCCAUGAGCAAAAGCUUCCUGAGGAUGUACAAGGCAGUUAUCUCAGAAGGUAUGUAGAGACAUCACCCCGAGGGCCAGUCCAUUUACAGCAGGAAAGAACCGAGCACGGCUGCGACACCCAGCAUCUUUCACCCCUGCGGGUCAGACAAAUGAUUCUCUCGCACAGACCGACCAUAUGGAUUGAUUUAGCAGCAUUUCACCUGCUGCCCAGAGACAUGGCUUGAGUCAUCCCAUAUAAAUUACUGAACUCU
rnacentral:lncRNA from 1 species